rnacentral:rRNA from 1 species
AUACGUAGGGGGCGAGCGUUGUCCGGAAUUACUGGGCGUAAAGGGUGCGUAGGCGGCCCUUUAAGUCAGAUGUGAAAGCCCGCAGCUUAACUGCGGAAUUGCAUUUGAAACUGGAGGACUUGAGUGUCGGAGAGGGUAGUGGAAUUCCCAGUGUAGCGGUGAAAUGCGUAGAUAUUGGGAGGAACACCAGUGGCGAAGGCGACUGCCUGGACGAUAACUGACGCUGAGGCACGAAAGCUAGGGGAGCAAACAGGAUUAGAUACCCUGGUAGUCCUAGCCGUAAACGAUGGGUACUAGGUGUAGGUGGUUUCGAUACCAUCUGUGCCGUAGUUAACGCAUUAAGUACCCCGCCUGGGGACUACGGCCGCAAGGCUGAA